rnacentral:rRNA from 1 species
GACGAACGCUGGCGGCGUGCCUAAUACAUGCAAGUUGAGCGAUGAAGAUUGGUGCUUGCACCAAUUUGAAGAGCAGCGAACGGGUGAGUAACGCGUGGGGAAUCUGCCUUUGAGCGGGGGACAACAUUUGGAAACGAAUGCUAAUACCGCAUAACAACUUUAAACAUAAGUUUUAAGUUUGAAAGAUGCAAUUGCAUCACUCAAAGAUGAUCCCGCGUUGUAUUAGCUAGUUGGUGAGGUGAAGGCUCACCAAGGCGAUGAUACAUAGCCGACCUGAGAGGGUGAUCGGCCACAGUGGGACUGAGACACGGCCCAAACUCCUACGGGAGGCAGCAGUAGGGAAUCUUCGGCAAUGGACGAAAGUCUGACCGAGCAACGCCGCGUGAGUGAAGAAGGUUGUCGGAUCGUAAAACUCUGUUGGUAGAGAAGAACGUUGGUGAGAGUGGAAAGCUCAUCAAGUGACGGUAACUACCCAGAAAGGGACGGCUAACUACGUG